UCCCUCUGCCUCGCCGUACGCCGGCCAUCGCCAACCGCUCACAACUCCUCACCGGGGCAUCGGGACUUCUCCUCCACACAUGCCCGAACCACCUCAGCCUCGCUUCUCGCAUCUUCUCACAUCAUAAGAGGUAAUUAUACAUAUUGCUUACAUUGAUGAGGAGAAGUAAGUUCAUCUGAUGAGUCAUCGUCGCCUGGAAUCAUUUCAUCAUAAGAAAAUCUAUUUCUGGUAAGGGAGACCACGGUUUUCUCAAUUAAUGUUAGUGGCCCUCUUACAGUUUCUAUAGAGUUGUCACUUUUC
rnacentral:lncRNA from 1 species